rnacentral:rRNA from 1 species
CAGUAGCCGCGGUAAGACGUAGGAUGCAAGCGUUGUCCGGAUUUAUUGGGCGUAAAGAGUUCGUAGGCGGUUUGUUAAGUUUGAUGUUAAAGAUCGGGGCCUAACCCUGGGAGUGCAUUGAAUACUGGCAGACUGGAGUGCAGUAGAGGCGAGUGGAAUUCCCAGUGUAGCGGUGAAAUGCGUAGAUAUUGGGAAGAACACCGGUGGCGCAGGCGACUCGCUGGGCUGUAACUGACGCUGAGGAACGAAAGCUAGGGGAGCAAAUGGGAUUAGAGACCCCAGUAGUCCCUGUCUCUUAUAC